rnacentral:tRNA from 1 species
GGGGCUGUAGCUCAGUUGGGAGAGCGCAUGAAUGGCAUUCAUGAGGCCGAGGGUUCGACCCCCUUCAGCUCCACCA